rnacentral:rRNA from 1 species
UACGUAGGGUGCGAGCGUUAAUCGGAAUUACUGGGCGUAAAGCGUGCGCAGGCGGUAAUGUAAGACAGUUGUGAAAUCCCCGGGCUCAACCUGGGAACUGCAUCUGUGACUGCAUUGCUGGAGUACGGCAGAGGGGGAUGGAAUUCCGCGUGUAGCAGUGAAAUGCGUAGAUAUGCGGAGGAACACCGAUGGCGAAGGCAAUCCCCUGGGCCUGUACUGACGCUCAUGCACGAAAGCGUGGGGAGCAAACAGG